ensembl:lncRNA
CUCAUUUUGUUUGGCCUCAAGGAAAACACUGUUUCUCGAUCUCGGAAUCUCUUGCCUCAUAUAAUAUGCGGUGUGCGAGAAACCUAUUUGACAGCAGCCUAAAUUUUGACAAACCGAUAAUUGCUGUUGUCGAGUCUUGUUUUUUUAAUCGUUUUCUUCUUUCUAACGUUAAGCCCUUUUUAUCCACGAGUAACUUUGAAACAGUGAUCUUUGUAACAUCUCGACUUGGUUACCGUAACUCGCUGUAUCACGGUAUUUCUCAGUCCUCCAGUUUCUCAGUACAAGAUGCAGCUGGCUUCUCAAAUGGAAGUGCAAAUUUGACCAUAUCCUACCCAUUCUAUUCUUCUUGCACUGGCUCCUCGAUAAGUAUCGGAUUGAUGUCAAAAUCUUAUUUGUCUACAAAGCCCUCAAUAAUCUGGCACCUCAAUACUUAACUGACUUAUUGCUCCUGUACACUCCUUCUCGAACCUUGAGAUCACGUGACCAUCACCUACUCACCAUCCUCUAGAGCCAAACUUAAAAAUCGAGGUGAUCGCGCCUUCACUACCGCUGGUCCAACACUUUGGAAUAGCCCUCCUCUUUAUAUCAGGCAUGCUCCAUCCAUCUCUGCUUUUAAAUCUUCUCUUAAGACUUAUCUAUUUUCCCUGGCUUUUAACAUCCCCUCACUAUAUUAUUAUCUUGGGGUCUUUUAUAUUCAUGACUUCAAUUGUUUGUUUGAAUUUCUUCCUUUUAUUCACUGUACAGCACUUGGGUCAGCCUCGGUUGUUUUUAAAUGUGCUCUAUAAAUAAACAUAGAUUGACUGAUUGAUUAUAAUGUCAUGUGGUCUAACCUUUAUAACUAAUAAUGACCUGUACAUAAUUAUAAAGCAAAUGUAGUAUUUAUUAGCAAUUAUAAAACAUUAUAAACAUUUAAAAUGGUAUCACUGAGUGCUUCAAGUAAAGUAGAUAAUAUGUUAAAUUAUUCCUCAUUAUAAGUUGUAAGACACAAGUGACUUUUUUUUUUCUACCUGAAGUACAUACAGAGAGAUGUUUAAAAUCUUUAAUGUAGAAUAUACUAAAGGCACAUUACAAGGACAAGGACACAUGUACUGUGCCCUCCACUAAUAUUGGCACCCUUGGAAAAUAUGAGCAAAGAAGGCUGUGAAAAAUAGUUUUUAUUGUUUAACCUUUUUAUCUUUUCUUCAAAAAAAUUCACAAAAACACACUGCGGUCAUGGAUAUCAAACAGUUGAAUGGCUCUUUAAUGUUUUGGGGCUGUUUUACUGCCAGAGGACCUGGACAUUUUGCUAGGAUACAUGGCAUCAUGGGCUCUAUCAAAUAUCAAUAGAUAUUAAAUGAAAACCUGCCUGCCUCUGCCAGAAAGCUUAAAAUGGGGCAUGGUUGGAUCUUCCACAAGGACAAUGGUCCAAAACAUACAUCAAAGUCAACACAAAAAUGGUUUACUGACCACAAAAUCAAGGUCCAUGCCAUGACCAUCCCAGUCCCCUGACUUGAAAUCCAUAGAAAACCUGUGGGGUGAACUGAAGAGGAGAGUCCACCAGCAUGGACCUUGAAAUUUGAAGGAUCUGGAGAGAUUCUGUAUGGAGGAAUGGUCUUAGAUCCCUUGCCAUGUAUUCUCCAACCUCAUCAGGUAUUAUAGGAGAAGACUCAGCGCUGUUAUCUUGGAAAAGGGAGGUAGCACAAAAUAUUGACUAAAAGGGUGCCAAUAAUCGCUGCACACCUAUAUUUAACAAAGAUACAUAUUUUUUUGUUAAACCUGUGUUUUGUUUGCAAUUGUUUGAUAUCCAUGAGAGCAGAGUAUUUUUGUGAUUUUUUUUAAACAAAGGAUCAAAAGGUUAAAUAAUAAAGACAAUUUUUACAGUCUUCUUUGCCCAUAUUUUCCAAGGGUGCCAAUAUUAGUGGAGGGCACUGUAUGUAAUGCCUGUUUGACCUUGAAUGGACAGGAGGCUAAGUGCUACAUAUGUGCACCCUUGUUAUAUUUGGAAGUAAUCAGUGGUGACAUUUUAACUCAAAUCAAAGAUCAUUCUGCAGUAAUGUAAAAACAAACACAACCACAAGCUAUACACAUAAAACAUAUACAGGUCAUUAUUAGCUAGAAAGAUUUUUCAGUACACCACAUGGCAUUAAGAUGAAUAGUAACACUUCCAUUACAACAUGAUUUCUUAUUACAACUUUUAUUCUUAUUAUUUAUAGCACAUUUUUGGAGCUUUAUAAGGCAUUAUGAGUGUCAUGAGGUAAUAUAAAAAUGAUUACAAGGAGUCAUUACCACAUUACAAAGAGUUAUAAGCAUGAUUAUAAAGAUUAACCAAUACACAAGAUUUUCCUUCCAGGAGUAUUCCAGCAGAAAUUAACACAAUAUCAAGGAAACUCCGUAAUAUUUGAAGGAGCUUGCAAUUUUUCAAAAUCACCGCAGAUUUUCUUCAGAUUUGGGCCAAGAUGCGUCAUGUGACGUCAUCUCAAUGUGCAUUCAGCCAAAGCCCUCUUCGAUUCACAUGCGUCAAACACGAGUACAGCUAAAAGGUCUCAUUUACCAACACGCAUCACUGCGAAAGACCGUGCAAAACAAUUUCGUGCAAUUACAAUUUCGCCAAGUAGUUUUCCACAAGAAGUUGCAUCGCAAACAAUCACAACAAUCACAAAAACACGCCGUGAAAUCCUGUACGGACUGAAUAGAAAGAAUAUUUCAAAUAUACCAAAACAUUAUUUUGUGUUUGAUUAGAGAAAUUAAUGGAAAAUAUGAAUAUUGUUUUGAGCUUAAUUCUUUGUUAUUUCUCUUCCCUACCCGUACUGAAAUAUUAUGUAUAUAAUUAUUUAGUUUGUUGAGUUCGAGUCACUUCCGGGGUCUUUAUAUUGUACUUUGUGGGUGGCUGUGGCUCAGGUGGUAGAGUGGGUUGUCCACUAAUCGUAGUGUUGGUGGUUCAAUUCCUGGCCUACGUGACUCCACAUGAUGAAGUGUCCUUGGGCAAGACGCUGAACCACGAGUUGCUCCUGAUGGCAAGUUAACGCCUUGCAUGGCAGCUCUGCUACCAUUGAAUCCCAUCUGCUGCCACUGACAGAGCCUCCACUGGACGGAGAAAUUUUCUUCUGCUGAUUUGGCCUUCGCUACCAAUCAACUCAUAACUCCCUUGUUCUCUAAGCUAUCUGCACCGGCUGAAUGUAACUCAGUGCAGGAUGCCUGCCAAAGUGCCCGCACUGUGUCCCUGGCACGCUCCGUCACGCUAAUAGGGCUGAAUCCGCCCUGAAAUAUUUCCACAUCCUGCAUAUGUUGCGCAUCCACGUGGGAUAUAUAUAUAUAUAUACUGGAGGCCAAAAUAUGAGCAGGUUUUGUUUUUAAAUAGUCUGGUUUUUAUUAUUGAGAGCAGUCAAAACCAAUUGUGGAUAAUUACACCAAAAUGUUGACGAAACGAGGUUCUACAGUAAUUUAACUUCCCUCUGAGACUGAAAUUUUUAUCAGGCACUUUAUAAACCCCCACGAAUACAGUGACAAUCAGUGUAGACAUUAUUAACCCAAGACACUCUAUUCCAGAGAUCCUUUAUACUGUGGUUAUUACCACUUGUUUAUAUACGUACAUUAUGACAUAUCACAGUGUGUGAUUCUAAAUACUGUGGACAUCCUGCUAGUAUUCCAGACGUAUUUUUCUAGCAAAACAAGAAGGCUAAAAAGAGUAAAAGUGUAAAUAUUGUAGAAAUCAUAGAAAUAAAUUGACCUGCUGGACAGGGAGUGUGUGUGUGCACAGAAGCAACACCCACUAAAAACUGCAAAAACUACGCAUUCACACCACUUAGGCACAAAGCCUAACAGUUGCCACAACCACUUUCAUUUAUGUCAUGUUUAUUAUUGUUUUUAAAUAAUACAACAAAAUGUUCACCUGGGUAGAUUUCUGUCAAGUGGGUUUAAUCGAUCAGCUUUUGUGGUCUUUGACUGAAUCCAUUCUUUAGAAGUCACACUUUGACUUGACGUGUGUAUCUCUAGCAUACGCAUACUGUUUUUGUUUGUUUCAGCUAGCACUCACUUGCAUUGAAUGAAUUGACCCAGUAGGAGGCGACAAAGAGUACUGCGUUGUUUAUCAUUAAGAAUGGUCAUGCACCUAUAUAUAUAUAUAUAUAUAUAUAUAUAUAUAUAUAUAUAUAUAUAUAUAUAUAUAUAUAUAUAUAUAUAUAUAUGACCCAGAACUGAGGAAUUACACUCUGAUGAGAGAAAAUGGUCCUAAUACACAAAAAGGGAAUACAUUUUUUCCCCCUUUAUGGCCUUACAAAAUCUGAGGACGUGUGCAGUUUCAGUCUUGGCCACACUUUUGUGUGAGACUAAACAGGGAAACAUACAGUAAAUCAGGCAAAGUAUUUAUAAUUGCUCAUAAAAGUCAGAUUGUGUAGCUUAAACGAAUUAUGAAAUGCACUAAAAUACAGUGCAGCAUUUUCUCAGGAGUGCAAACCUUUUGUAAAAACGAAAAGAAAAAAAAAGUAAGAAAUAUUCAGUACUUGAAGGUACAGUAUUGUUAUCUUGCUGAAUUAUGUAAAGGGACAAAAUUAAGACUGUAAAUAUUUUGUGAAUGAUAGUAACUGUAUAAGAAAGGACCAUACUGUAUGUUUGUCUAAUUUGUAGUUGAUUUCACUAUUUUGUAAGAAGACUUUAUUUAUCAUUGACCCUUUAUUUGGAGGCGGAAAUGUAAUAUUGUCCUCAAAAUAAUUAAAAGAAACGUGUUUAAAU